rnacentral:rRNA from 1 species
AGUGAACGCUGGCGGUAGGCCUAACACAUGCAAGUCGAACGGCAGCACAGUAAGAGCUUGCUCUUACGGGUGGCGAGUGGCGGACGGGUGAGGAAUACAUCGGAAUCUACUUUUUCGUGGGUGAUAACGUAGGGAAACUUACGCUAAUACCGCAUACGACCUACGGGUGAAAGCAGGGGAUCUUCGGACCUUGCGCGAUUGAAUGAGCCGAUGUCGGAUUAGCUAGUUGGCGGGGUAAAGGCCCACCAAGGCGACGAUCCGUAGCUGGUCUGAGAGGAUGAUCAGCCACGCUGGAACUGAGACACGGUCCAGACUCCUACGGGAGGCAGCAGUGGGGAAUAUUGGACAAUGGGCGCAAGCCUGAUCCAGCCAUACCGCGUGGGUGAAGAAGGCCUUCGGGUUGUAAAGCCCUUUUGUUGGGAAAGAAAAGCAGCAGGUUAAUCCCCCGCUGUUCUGACGGUACCCAAAGAAUAGGCACCGGCUAACUUCGUG